rnacentral:rRNA from 1 species
UACGUAGGGUGCGAGCGUUGUCCGGAAUUACUGGGCGUAAAGAGCUCGUAGGCGGCUUGUCGCGUCGGAUGUGAAAGCCCGGGGCUUAACCCCGGGUCUGCAUUCGAUACGGGCAGGCUAGAGUUCGGUAGGGGAGAUCGGAAUUCCUGGUGUAGCGGUGAAAUGCGCAGAUAUCAGGAGGAACACCGGUGGCGAAGGCGGAUCUCUGGGCCGAUACUGACGCUGAGGUGCGAAAGCGUGGGGAGCGAACAGG